rnacentral:rRNA from 1 species
UAAGAAUUUAAAAGUCGAACAGACUUAUUUAUUAAGACUACUGCUUCUUAAAAUUUUCUUAAUUCAACAUCGAGGUCGCAAAAUAUAAUAUAGAUGUGAACUCCCCAUUAAAAUUACGCUGUUAUCCCUAAGGUAACUUAAUCUUAUUCUCCUGCGAUUGGGAUCUAAAAUUACAUAAAAAAAUGAACAUAAAAGCUAAAGUUAACUAUUUAACCACCACCCCAGCAAAAUAUAAAUUGAUAUUAAAAAGUAUAUAAAUUAAAACCCAAUAAAAUCAAAUUAUAUAAAGUUCUAUAGGGUCUUAUCGUCCCAAUAAAUCAAUAAAGCAUUUUAACUUUAAACUUAAAUUUUAACAUUUAAAAAAAUAAAAUAUAAUUCUCAUACAUCCAUUCAUACAAGCUUUCAAUUAAAAAACUAAUUACUAUGCUACCUUUGCACAGUCAAAAUACUGCAGCCAUUUAGAACUAAAACCAUAGGGCAGAAGAUACUUUUUACAAAACCA